rnacentral:lncRNA from 1 species
AUUUUUUGUGUAUUUUUUAAAGAAUAUGGAAAAAAGUAGCAUUGAUUAUGCCUUUUCAAAAAUGUUAUGUGAAGAAACAAAAAAUUUUACCAAUGUAUAUAUUGAAAGGAAAAAAAAUAACAUAAUUAAAACCUUAUAUAAAAUUAAUAUAUUUAUUAUAAUAAAUUAUUUGUUAUAUUUUAAAACCUUCAACAGUUGCAAACUCUAUUUAAAUUUAUAUUCUUACUUUUUUCAUGAAUUUUAUAUUUUCUGCAUUAAAAAAUAUUUAAAAAAAUACAAAAAUGUUAAAAGUGGUAGUAGUGGUUUAUUUUUGAAGAAGUCGGAUAAAGUGAGUGAUUAUCUGGAUUGGGAAAGAAAGAUGCAUAGUGAGUUAGCUUAUGAAGAGGGAGAGGAGAAGGAGAAAGAUCAGGGACAGGAGCAGGAUCAGGAUCAGGAUCAGGGACAGGAGCAGGAUCAGGAUCAGGAUCAGGAUCAGGGACAGGAGCAGGAUCAGGAUCAGGAUCAGGAUCAGGGACAGGAUCAGGAUCAGGAUCAGGAGCAGGAUCAGGAUCAGGAGCAAAAUAAGGGACCAGACAAGGGACAAGAGCAACCCUUACGUUUUGCAGUUAAUACGUUUAAUCAAAACAAUACCAACAUGUGCGACACAACAAAUAGAGUAAUGUUACAUAAAAGUAAUGAUGGUGUCAGGUUGAAUAACAUAUAUAAUAUCAAAAGUGAUGAAGAAACGAAUAGUAAGAGCAAGUCCAUAUUAAGUGACUCAAUCAAAAGGGUAAAUUUUCCAGUUUAUUUUUACGCAGAUAAUUAUUAUAAAAAAGCAAACAGCAUAUUUAAACAGAAGUACAAAUAUAACACAUUUCCCUUAAGAACAAAAAACAUCAGUUUGCAUCGUAUUGGUACUAUACGUAGGAAACGGUAUGGUAACAUAGCUAAAAUAAUAGAAGCAAGAAAAAAAAAGAGAGGACGAUUGGAAAAUGUACAAAAUAGUGACAGCAGUAUUUGUAUUAGUAGAGGAGGUAGUAGCAGACGAAACAGAAGACAAAGCAAAAUACGAGACAUAAAUCGAGACAUAAAUCGAGAUAGAAAACGAGUUACAGGUAAUGUACAAAGGUCCAAAAGAAAUAUAUACAUAUCUAAAUAUUUAGAAACGUACAAAGGUUUUAACGUGAAAGACAUUUUUAAAAAUCACGAAAAUGAAAGCAGUAUAAAUAAUCAUGUGAGCUAUAGGAAAAUAAUAAAAAAAGUGAAAGGAU